AACUCCAAACCCGUGGUCUCGUUUAUAGCCGGAGUCACUGCUCCUCCGGGCAGGAGAAUGGGCCACGCAGGAGCCAUCAUUGCUGGUGGAAAAGGUGGAGCCAAAGAGAAGAUUGCAGCCCUGCAGAAGGCUGGGGUCAUUGUCAGCAUGUCUCCUGCGCAGCUGGGAUCCACGAUGUACAAGGAGUUUGAGAAGAGGAAAAUGCUAUGAGAAAAGAAUCUUAAGAACGGUCGGGAUCUCUCUGCAAAAACCACGCACUCUUCACUUCCCUCCACGCCCUGUAUUCUUCGCGUACUCCAGUUUAUUUGUCGGAAUACAGCAGCGCUCCGUCUUACAAAGUCAAAUUUUAACACCACCAGGGUUGGUUUUGGUGGUGGGUUCUUGAUUUCACACAUGAUUGUACGUGAUAAGUCAAUAAAUCAAUCUACUACUAUUA